rnacentral:rRNA from 1 species
GUCGAGAGCUUUCGGAGCUCGGCAUACUGCUCAGUAACACGUGGGUAACCUGCCCUGUGCUGGGGGAUAACCUCGGGAAACUGAGAACAAUACCCCAUAGUCCACUACGCCUGGAACGGUGAGUGGAUGAAAGCCCCGGCGGCACAGGAUGGGCCUGCGGCGUAUCAGGUAGUAGGGGGUGUAAAGUACCCUCUAGCCUUCGACGCGUACGGGUUGUGAGAGCAAUAGCCCGGAGAUGGAUUCUGAGACACGAAUCCAGGUCCUACGGGACGCAGCAGUCGCGAAACCUUGACAAUGCGGGAAACCGUGAUCAGGGGACUCCAAGUGCCAGGAGUAAGAUCCUGUGCUUUUCUUUUCUCUUCAAAGGAUUUGGAAUAAGAGGUGGGUAAGGACGGUGCCAGCCGCCGCGGUAAUACCGGCGCCUCGAGUGGUAGUCGAUUUUAUUGGGCCUAAAACGUCCGUCGCCGGUCUGGUGCAUUCGUGGGUAAAUCAACCCGCUCAACGGGUUGAAUUCUGCGAGCACGGCCAGACUAGGGACCGGGAGAGGUGUGGGGUACGCUCGGGGUAGGGGUAAAAUCCUGUCAUCCCGAGCGGACCACCUGUUGCGAAGGCUCCACACUAGAACGGGAUCCGACGGUCAGGGACGAAGCCUAGGGGCACGAACCGGAUUAGAUACCCGGGUAGUCCUAGGUGUA